GACAGAGGGUGCAAACGUUGUUCGGAAUUACUGGGCGUAAAGCGCGUGUAGGCGGCUAUGUAAGUCGGGCGUGAAAUCCCACGGCUCAACCGUGGAAGUGCACCCGAAACUGCGUAGCUAGAGUCCUGGAGAGGAAGGUGGAAUGCUUGGUGUAGAGGUGAAAUUCGUAGAUAUCAAGCGGAACACCGGAGGCGAAGGCGGCCUUCUGGACAGUGACUGACGCUGAGACGCGAAAGCGUGGGGAGCAAACAGG
rnacentral:rRNA from 1 species